AUUGAACGCUGGCGGCAGGCCUAACACAUGCAAGUCGAACGGUAACAGGAAGAAGCUUGCUUCUUUGCUGACGAGUGGCGGACGGGUGAGUAAUGUCUGGGAAACUGCCUGAUGGAGGGGGAUAACUACUGGAAACGGUAGCUAAUACCGCAUAACGUCGCAAGACCAAAAAGGGGGACCUUCGGGCCUCUUGCCAUCGGAUGUGCCCAGAUGGGAUUAGCUAGUAGGUGGGGUAACGGCUCACCUAGGCGACGAUCGCUAGCUGGUCUGAGAGGAUGACCAGCCACACUGGAACUGAGACACGGUCCAGACUCCUACGGGAGGCAGCAGUGGGGAAUAUUGCACAAUGGGCGCAAGCCUGAUGCAGCCAUGCCGCGUGUAUGAAGAAGGCCUUCGGGUUGUAAAGUACUUUCAGCGGGGAGGAAGGGAGUAAAGUUAAUACCUUUGCUCAUUGACGUUACCCGCAGAAGAAGCACCGGCUAACUCCGUG
rnacentral:rRNA from 1 species